rnacentral:rRNA from 1 species
UACGGGAGGCAGCAGUGGGGAAUAUUGCACAAUGGGCGGAAGCCUGAUGCAGCAACGCCGCGUGCGGGAUGACGGCCUUCGGGUUGUAAACCGCUUUCGCCUGUGACGAAGCGUGAGUGACGGUAAUGGGUAAAGAAGCACCGGCUAACUACGUGCCAGCAGCCGCGGUGAUACGUAGGGUGCGAGCGUUGUCCGGAUUUAUUGGGCGUAAAGGGCUCGUAGGUGGUUGAUCGCGUCGGAAGUGUAAUCUUGGGGCUUAACCCUGAGCGUGCUUUCGAUACGGGUUGACUUGAGGAAGGUAGGGGAGAAUGGAAUUCCUGGUGGAGCGGUGGAAUGCGCAGAUAUCAGGAGGAACACCAGUGGCGAAGGCGGUUCUCUGGGCCUUUCCUGACGCUGAGGAGCGAAAGCGUGGGGAGCGAACAGGCUUAGAUACCCUGGUAGUCCACGCUGUAAACGGUGGGUACUAGGUGUGGGGUCCAUUCCACGGGUUCCGUGCCGUAGCUAACGCUUUAAGUACCCCGCCUGGGGAGUACGGCCGCAAGGCUAAAACUCAAAGGAAUUGACGGGG